rnacentral:rRNA from 1 species
GGAAAGAUGAAAAGAACUUUGAAAAGAGAGUUAAACAGUACGUGAGAUUGUUGAAAGGGAAACGAUUGAAGUCAGUCGUGCUGGCGCGAAAUCAACCCUCUCGUCGAGAGGACACAUGGCGUGGCGAGCCUCAAAACCGUCACGAAGCGUGAACUCUUGGCGAAAAGGAGCACUUUCGUGUCCGCUGGUUAACAUCAAUUUCGAACGUCAUAAAAAGGCUGGAGGGAUGUGGCUCCCUCGGGAGUGUUAUAACCUUUAGCGGAAUGUGGUGGUCGGGAUUGAGGAUUGCAACGAAUACCUUUAGGGCUGUUCCACCUGGCUUCUCUUUGGCAUCCUGGUGACGACAGCUUGCGGACGUUGUUAGGAAUCGCCUUUGAACAGGCUAGAGUGUGAGCAAAUUCGUUAAGGAUGUUAACGUAAUGGCUUUAAACGACCGUCUUGAAACACGGACCA